CAGCCGCCACGGGAAUACAGAGGGUGCGAGCGUUAAUCGGAUUUACUGGGCGUAAAGCGUGCGUAGGCGGCUUCUUAAGUCGGAUGUGAAAUCCCUGAGCUUAACUUAGGAAUUGCAUUCGAUACUGGGAAGCUAGAGUAUGGGAGAGGAUGGUAGAAUUCCAGGUGUAGCGGUGAAAUGCGUAGAGAUCUGGAGGAAUACCGAUGGCGAAGGCAGCCAUCUGGCCUAAUACUGACGCUGAGGUACGAAAGCAUGGGGAGCAAACAGGAUUAGAGACCCCGGUAGUCCCUGUCUCUAUACA
rnacentral:rRNA from 1 species